rnacentral:rRNA from 1 species
GCGUGCCGGAUGUGGCGAUCUGCGGUCAAAAGACCGUCGCGAUCCGCCCGUCCUGGCACCGUAAAAUUUGCAACUGGGUCGCCGCUGGCCUUAAUUGAUCGGCGGCGUCUGCUCGGUUGCUCGUUUACUGUGAGAAAAUUGGAGUGUUCAAGGCAGGCAUUAUUGCAACUGAACAUGUUAGCAUGGAAUAAUAAUUUAGGACUUCGGUUCUAUUUUGUUGGUUUCUAGGACUGAAGUAAUGAUUGAUAGGGAUAGUUGGGGGUGCUAGUAUUCAGCGGCCAGAGGUGAAAUUCUCGGAUUCGCUGAAGACUAACUUAUGCGAAAGCAUU